rnacentral:rRNA from 1 species
UACGGAGGAUCCGAGCGUUAUCCGGAUUUAUUGGGUUUAAAGGGUGCGCAGGCGGGAGAUUAAGUCGGCGGUGAAAUUUUGCAGCUCAACUGUAAAAGUGCCUUCGAAACUGGUUUCCUUGAGUGUAGAUGAAGUAGGCGGAAUUUGUGGUGUAGCGGUGAAAUGCAUAGAUAUCACGAGGAACUCCGAUUGCGCAGGCAGCUUACUAAACUACUACUGACGCUCAGGCACGAAGGCGUGGGGAUCAAACAGGAUUAGAUACCCUGGUAGU